rnacentral:rRNA from 1 species
CCUGCUCAAUGCAUCUAAAUAGCCGCGACAAGUGCUAAGGUAGCAUAAUAAUUAGCUUUCUAAUUAAAAGAUAGAAUGAAAGGAAACACGAUUUAUUAUUUCUUCCAGAACCUUAAAAUUAAUUUCCAUAAAUAUGUCACAAUUCAAUUAAAGCAUAAGCAGGACGACAAGACCCUGCCGAACUUAACUUCUAGUUUUACUGGGGUGGUAAAAAACAAAAUCUUUCAAUUUUCCUAAAUAUACGCAACCCUAAGAAUAAAAACAAGUUACCGCAGGGAUAACAGCAUAAUAAUUUAUUAAAGCCCUCAUAAUAUAAAUUGCUUAUGACCUCGAUGUUGAAUUAAUGCUCCCUAUUUUCAGAAAAAAGAAAAAAAGGAAGUCUGUUCGACUUAUAACCCAUUACAU